rnacentral:rRNA from 1 species
AUUGAAUGCUGGCGGCAUGAUUUACACAUGCAAGUCGAACGGUAACAGGCCGCAAGGUGCUGACGAGUGGCGAACGGGUGAGUAAUGCAUCGGAACGUGCCCAGUCGUGGGGGAUAACUACUCGAAAGAGUAGCUAGUACCGCAUACGAUCUAUGGAUGAAAGCGGGGGACCGUAAGGCCUCGCGCGAUUGGAGCGGCCGAUGUCAGAUUAGGUAGUUGGUGGGGUAAAGGCUCACCAAGCCAACGAUCUGUAGCUGGUCUGAGAGGACGACCCGCCACACUGGGACUGAGACACGGCCCAGACUCCUACGGGAGGCAGCAGUGGGGAAUUUUGGACAAUGGGCGCAAGCCUGAUCCAGCAAUGCCGCGUGCAGGAAGAAGGCCUUCGGGUUGUAAACUGCUUUUGUACGGAACGAAACGGCUCUGGUUAAUACCCGGGGCUAAUGACGGUACCGUAAGAAUAAGCACCGGCUAACUACGUG